UGAAGACAGAGAAAAGAUAGUGGGCGUAACUCGCGAUAAUUUGCAUGGAAAUUUUUAUCGGUACGGCCGAAGAGGCAAUAUCCAGCAGACGCAUUUAAGAUCUGAGUCCGGAUAAUAGCCACAGAAAUGGGAUCGUAAUGCCCGAAAUGGGUGACACGAGUAGGUACCCAAGGUUGCCUAUAUAGUAUAUGCCUUACAUUUUCCUACGUAGCUAUCAUGAGCUAAUGCGCGAAAAUGGUGGGGUAAGUGGGAUGCACACAGAAGCUUCAGUGAAAACGAAUCCACCCAUAUCGUGCUACAGCCACACUGCACAAGAAAAAAAAUGACACUCCUCCCUUGGUUUACGUCGUUAAAUUAUAUAUAGACUUUCUUUCGCCCUUGCUUACUUGUUCUUUAUCGUCAUCUUAUGUUAAUAUUACUUCUAUUCGAGGUCCAUGGUUCUCAUUGAUUUUUUUGAUAUUUUCUACUGAUCGUUACAUUAAUCCGAUCUACGAAAAGGGAUCUAUGAGAAGGAUCAACUUUCAGGAAAGCAUUAUACGAAGGUACAUGGCGGCAGGAUCGGUUGCUUGAUGGACUGGAAGCUCGCGGAACGUUUCGAAAUACCGUCUUAACCAAGAAAAGGGUGCAAGUACACACUCAUGCACGGUAUAAAAGAAUAAGAGACUUUGCGGAAUAAGAAAGAAGAUUAAGAAAAAAAUCGAACCAUAUAAAAGUAGAAGAGUAGAAAUCCAAAGAAAGAGAAUGUUAGAAAAGAAGAGAAAUAGGAAUGUACAUGCACAUACAGAUGUAUAUAAGUACUUGUCAAUAGAUGUGUGCGUGCCCUAUAGCGUACAUCCCACAAAUAGACCUUGUCGUUUUCGAUGAGACUAUCGAAAACAAUUGGCACAAUGGAUUCUCAAGCAUUCUUAUUUAUUAUACUUACAUGGCACUGUACACUAUACAUAACGCGAAUGAAUGGGAGAAGCCGCGGUUAGACGAGAUGUGUAACGCGCGUGUGCAUUUUGCUCGAGAGCCCCACGAAUAAGCGUGCGUGAAAGAACGCACGCGAUUUUUGAAUCGUAGAGCACCGUCAACGGUAAGGGAACGAUGGAGAGGGUAUCCACGAAGAAAAGAUUAAAGAGAAUUGUUUUGUGAACGGUCAAUUGACAGCGUUUUGUGAUGUUAAUAGCCGCCUUUUAAUGACAUAUCUUUUAAUGUUCUUCAUAUAACACCCAGCGAAGAUUUGCUAGUCAUAAUUUAAAUGUCAUUAUAUAAUAUAUUAAAUGUAAAUUCGUCAAGCACAUCAAUAUAUCCAUUUAAGCAAAUUUUAUUUUAUCAUGUGACUAUAAGAAGAAAAAAUAUUGCUGUCAAGUAUAUACGUAUGACGUUUAGCAUUGGAAUAAAAAUCUCGUGACGUAUCUGCUGACAAACAUGGAUGCGUAUAUUCUAAUGCCUCUUAUGCGGGUCUCAUUGUGCAACGAUCUCUUGUUGCUUGUGGAAUCACUACGAACAAAGAUCCUCUUCUAUAGGAUAUCUAUAUCAUCAUCCUUUUACUGUGUUGGACAUCGACGAAUGAAUAGAUAAUAAGAAAAAACUCAACACAUAAAACUCAAUGCAAGUGAGUAUUCAAUAUUGUACGAGAAUAUAAUUGUAAAUACUUAGAUUAUUAUGAAGUUUGAUAUAUCAUCGACAUAAUUAUCAAUGUGAUUAUUAUAAUCAAUCAUAUUAUAAU